CUGCACAGGGGUUUCUAGAAGGGGGAUUUUCAGCAUGCCUUAUUUGAAAUCAGCUAAACUAGACAGUCGGGAACAUGUAAACACUACAUUGGUGUCAGAAGUGUGAUUUUUAGCUACGCCUUGUUUCCCCGAUUAUUUUAAGUUUAGCCUAAACAUAGCCAGCAGUGAGAUGGAACAAACGAGAGACAAGUGAAUUGACGAGAGGAGAAAGCAUGGGGCGCAAACUUACCCGCCGUACAGACCGGAGGCAGUUUCACAUUGGCUAAAGGUGGAGAACCACUCACUCUCUGAGAGAGAGCCAGCUCAAGCCUACAGUGCGUGAACAGGGUGCUAGAGCCGCUGUCAUCACUGACGAAAGUAAACAGACCAACCAAGAUGGCAGCCCCCAUGAAAGCUACAGCAGAGAGAAUACAGGAGACCGCACCAAAGCUGUAGAAGGGAGUAGGAUGAGUUGACCCAUGUUGAGUUUACAAUUUGAACAAGAGGGGGCAUUGAACAAGUGGAGUGAGAACUCUGCCUGAGGACGAACUGGGACCCUUAUGGCCAUUGCUGCAGGGGGGCAAUAUGGGUUACUAGGGUGUUGUAGGAUGGCUGGAUGGGCCACACCUUUAUCAUGACAGUUCUCAGAGCAGUGCUGUCUGUCGAAACAAUGUUAACACAAACCCAAGCUACUGAAAUUCCAGGGAAAAUUGAGGUGAGGGUGGAGGUUAGAGGUAAAGUUAAGGUGAAAGGGGAUUCACAUGCCAAUGAUAAUGCUAAUGUUAGGCAGGGUGCUUACUAUAGCCCAAAAUGUAGUGAUAGGGACACCAUAACAACACCGGGGGAGAAGAAUGAUUGUCGUCUGUGAAGCUCGCCGAGAGGCUAAAGUUAGGCAAAUUUGAUGGACUGGCAUCAUGGGAAGCGUUCAGAGCCAAGUUUGAUUUGGUGGCAGCAGCAGAUAGGUUGUCUCCGACGGAGAGAACAGUGCAGCUGGCUAUAUCACUGGAAGGGGAAGCCCAGCAAGUCCUGCUGGAACUUUCAGAACAGGAGAUGCAGGACCCAGAGGCCAUAACAGCCGUGAUAGCUUUGCGUUUCGGUCAGCCGGUGCGAGUUGCAGUGAUGCGUCAACAGCUUACUGAACGGAGCCGGAAGCCCGGGGAGACACUAGGCCUUUCAUUAAGGGGCUAACACCAGACAUGUGCCGAAAACAGGUUCGCGUUAGGGAUGUAAUGAUAUCAAAAUCUCACGGUACGAUACAAUUUCGAUAUUGACCUCACGGUACGAUAUUUAUUGCGAUAUUGUGGAAAAGCUCACGGUAUUGUUAAAUAGCUCACGAUAGUGUUUGUGAUGAUAAUAGCAAAAAAAAUACUGACAUUUAUUCUGCUUUUGCCAGUCAAGAUCAAAAGAUCUACAUUGCAAGGGAGAAGAAGAGACCUCUGGGCAUUCACAAUAUCCCCUGCUGUUGAAAAUACCCUUUCACUGGGCACCGAGGUAGCGGGUAUACACAGGUAGGUCUUUGCUAAUGAAGACAGAAUAGGAUACUGCCCUGCGUUGUCUCUCCACCACUUAAGAGGGCAAGCAGACAGAGAAACUAAUGCUUCUUUGCAGUAAGAGUCGAUUUCUGCCUGAAUUCCACCUGUGACUUGAUUACUGCUAAAAGAAGACCCAAGGAGGUCCUCAAGAGCAUGCUUCUUAAGAGGAGGCACAAAGCUUGCGCUGCUGUCGUCCAGAUCUGCCAAGUAUUGCUGUCGGCCAUGCUGGCUUGCUGUGAGCUUGUGUGGACAGCGUGCAGCGUGCAAUCCUAUUGGCUUAACAAUGGUUGUUGUGACGACCCAGCGCAAAGGAUCAUGGUCUAUGUAGUUAACAAUGAUUUGUUCCGCGGGACUGUGUUCAUUCCUCUUGCUUUUUGACGGACACCUGUCCUUUUAAUAUUGUAACCCAAUCACGACGAUAUCGAGACACGUUUACUACCGCAAUAGCGCGAUAUCGUCAAUAUCGUUACAUCCCUAGUUCGCGUAUGGAGACCUGAGACACUAGAAGGUGCACACCAAAGCCCUCACCUUGACCAACAGUUGACAGACCUCCGACCACUGCACUUUUCCCAGGCUGGUGUUGGACGGGCAGAUCUAGCAUAUGAAAUUUGCUGGCGCUGUGGCCAGAAGGGCCACCGGAUGAGAUACUGCUCCCAUUUGGAACGCAAGGCCUCAGUAGAUCUGCAACGCUUGUGAAACGGGGAGUGCCCAGUGCAGUAGGGGCACCACUGGGCUCCACACCAAAGUCCCCACCCACAGAGAGACUACCCAUGGUGAAUAAUUACCAGCCUGCCCUCCAGCACCAAGUCCUUCAGGCCCUUGACAGCUGUCCCAUUCCUGUAGAAGGUCAGAGUGUAGGGGCCUUCCUUGAUACAGAUUCUACUGUUGCACUGAUCCACCCCAACCUGUUGCCUCCCUACACCCAUUUGGAAGCUGUUGGUGCCUCGCUGGUCUCUGUCACGGGAGACCAGGCUCCAAUGAUAGGAUCAGUCUGUGUGAAUAUACACAUAGCUGGCAGAACCUUUAACCAUCGCGUCUGAGUCGCCCAAGUCAGGGAGAAUUCCUGUUGGGUUUGGACUUCUUACGCAAGGCAGGUGGGAAACUAGAUGUUUGAGCUGGGACAAUAACCUUUGAUGGCUGUCCCGCCAUUUCCCUUGGACUCGUUCAGGCUACUGCUGUCGUGCAACAUCUCAGAAGACUACCCAGGGAAGGUGUUUACACCAGCCAUGCUCGGUCUGACACAAAACCCAUUAACCACUAUCACUCCAGUUGUGGAUCUUAGGGACCUAGCGGCAACCCAGGAGACCGCCGAUCAAGAAGCAGGCUCCCUGGGCCCUCCAGGGCUCACUCAGUCUGGCAAUAAUAUCUCUGGUCACACCCAAAUUGCAGAACUGGCCACGGGUAAGGUGAAUCAAUCGGUUUGGGAGAAGAACUCAGAGGAAAUGGAGCAAGAACAACACUGUGCCUUUUUAACCUGCUGCAUGCGUUUUCUCACAGAUUUGCCACCACCUCCGGUGAUGUGGGGUGUACCCAGCUGGUACAACUCAGAAUUGAUACUGGUCCAUCAGCAGCCCCGUCGACUUCCGGCUGGACAUCAGGCAAUUGCAGAACAGUGUGUAGAGGAAAUGCUUGCUGCUUAUACUGUUGAACCUUCUGACAGCCCCUGGGUAUCCCCAGUGGUGUUGGUCCAAAAGAAAGAUGGUACAUGGAGACAUUGUGUUGACUAUCGGCAGUUGAAUGAUAUCACGGUAUCACGGAGCAGACAAUUCUCUUGACCUGGUGAUGGGGUUCUCAUGGUGUUUUUUCAUUGGAUCUUCGAAGUGCUUACUGGCAAGUGGCAAUGGCCCCAGAGGACAAGGCCAAGAUGGCCUUCACUAAAGGGAAAGGAUUGUGGUAGUUCAAGACCAUGCCAUUCGGAUUGUGCAAUGCAUCAGCAACAUUCAAACGGCUGAUGGAAAAAAUACUGGCGGGUAUUCCCUCUGAACGCUCCCUUAUGUACCUGAAUGAUGUGCUUGCACAUGCGCCUAGUUUUGAUGCUGCCUUGGAGGCUCUGAAGGAGGUCUUGGAGAGGAUCCAAGCUGCUGACCUCAAGUUGCACCCAGAGAAGUGCCGCCUGCUACAAAGGUAGGUCUCGUUCCUUGGGCAGAGGUAAGCAGGGAAGGUCUCAAAACAACGGCAGACAAAGUCGCUGCAAUACAGGCCUGGCCAAUUCCUAGUGAUGUCCACCAGGUACGGGCAUUCGUGGGUUUAGCUCAAUACUACAGAAGAUAUGUGCCCGGCUUCCCUACAGCUGUACCACUGUGAUCCCAGAGAUCUCUGAAACCAGUUUUUUCAAGUACAUGCCAAUAUAAUCUCCUGCUCUUUUUAAAGCACAAACCACAUAGUCAACCCUACUAGAUAUUUUGCACAUGUAGUCAUCUCCCAGCAAACAAUAUUGCAUUGUCAUUGCGUACUGACAAGGUAACUUACCUUUGGAACCAGUUAGAUGAUCUUACAUAAAUACAACCUAAAAUUAAAUGUAUUUAAAUUAACCCAUUUGUAAUUUGUGAGAUUAUUUUUUUACCAGGUAUUUUAAUAUGCCAUAACCAUUUUUUGUACUUAAAAAUUUGUAUAUUCAUACCAACAGCUAGAAUAGGUACAGUUAAGUUAAUUUCUGUCCAGUCAACAUAUCUCACAUGACAAUUCUCUCAAACUUUGUGUUUAUCCACUCCAACUGUCCCAUGCCCUCUUAAAGGUGCACAACACAAUUCAGGGCUCUAAACAGACUUUAGUUUUAGGCAAUCACCUAAUCAGUACCUCAUUGAGUAAAAUGAGCUGUGCAUGUGUUGGAAUUUAGUCUCUCCAGAGCUGUAUAUUAUUAGUAUUUUUGUAUUACUGGUUUCAGUCUACAUAUCUUCUUUAAAACUGACCAACAUUUUAAGGGGACAUUGUCUUUAUGAUGACAAAUGUUGCUCUGCAUUUUUUAUCCAUCACAUAUUGUUACCCCAAUAACUAGAGAAAGUGAAAUAUUCCUUGAUAUUAAAGAACAUACACUCACCUAAAGGAUUAUUAAGAACACCAUACUAAUACUGUGUUUGACCCCCUUGCACCUUCAGAACUGCCUUAAUUCUACAUGGCAUUGAUUGAAAGCAUUCUUUAGAAAUGUUGGCCCAUAUUGAUAGGAUAGCAUCUUGCAGUUGAUGGAGAUUUGUGGGAUGCACAUCCAGGUUCCCGUUCCACCACAUCCCAAAGAUGCUCUAUUGGGUUGAGAUCUGGUAACUGCGGGGGCCAUUUCAGUACAGUGAACUCAUUGUCAUGUUCAAGAAACCAAUUUGAAAUGAUUCGAGCUUUGUGACAUGGUGCAUUAUCCUGCUGGAAGUAGCCAUCAGAGGAUGGGUACAUGGUGGUCAUAAAGGGAUGGACAUGGUCAGAAACAAUGCUCAGGUAGGCCGUGGCAUUUAAACGAUGCCCAAUUGGCACUAAGGGGCCUAAAGUGUGCCAAGAAAACAUCCCCCACACCAUUACACCACCACCACCAGCCUGCACAGUGGUAACAAGGCAUGAUGGAUCCAUGUUCUCAUUCUGUUUACGCCAAAUUCUGACUCCACCAUCUGAAUGUCUCAACAGAAAUCGAGACUCAUCAGACCAGGCAACAUUCUUCCAGUCUUCAACUGUCCAAUUUUGGUGAGCUCAUGCAAAUUGUAGCCUCUUUUUCCUAUUUGUAGUGGAGAUGAGUGGUACCCGGUGGGGUCUUCUGUUGUUGUAGACCAUCCGCCUCAAGGUUGUGCGUGUUGUGGCUUCACAAAUGCUUUGCUGCAUACCUCGGUUGUAACGAGUGGUUAUUUCAGUCAAAGUUGCUCUUCUAUCAGCUUGAAUCAGUCGGCCCAUUCUCCUCUGACCUCUAGCAUCAAGAAGGCAUUUUCGCCCACAGGACUGCCGCAUACUGGAUGUUUUUCCCUUUUCACACCAUUCUUUGUAAACCCUAGAAAUGGUUGUGCGUGAAAAUCCCAGUAACUGAGCAGAUUGUGAAAUACUCAGACCGGCCCGUCUGGCACCAACAACCAUGCCACGCUCAAAAUUGCUUAAAUCACCUUUCUUUCCCAUUCUGACAGUUUGGAGUUCAGGAGAUUGUCUUGACCAGGACCACACCCCUAAAUGAAUUGAAGCAACUGCCAUGUGAUUGGUUGAUUAGUUAAUUGCAUUAAUGAGAAAUUUUACAGGUGUUCCUAAUAAUCCUUUAGGUGAGUGUACAAGCCAUUUAUAUAAAUAAGCUAGCAAUAUAUUUUGCUUACCCUAAAGCUGCAUGAAUAAAACACUAACAAGCGUAUUGCACAAAUGCGUCUUGUAAGCUUAGUUACAGCAUUAUUCUAUUGAUAAUCUGUGUUUACAGUCACUUACUUCAGUUGCUUGCUCUGUGGUUCUUCUUACAGUCAGGGAAAGCUGCAAUGAUAAAUGGAAAUGCAUAUAAAGGAUUUCAAAGUUUUUUUAAAAAUCGUGUACUUCCUCGAAUCUGCUUAGCAGUUUUUCCGUGUCAAAAUGAUCUUGCACUGGAAAUGUAUAUUUUAAUGUUUCCCUCGUAGCCUAGUGCACUUUACAGCAAUAAAGUACACAACGGAAAUACUUUGAAAACAUGAUGAUUACCGCGUGCUUAGUCACUCCUUGAAUACUCAAACAUGACUUGAGUAUUUACAGGUGCUGGUCAUUUAAUUAGAAUAUCAUCAAAAAGUGGAUUUAUUUCAGUAAUUCCAUUCAGAAAGUGAGACUUGUAUAAUGUAUACAUUCAUUCCACACAGACUGAUAUAUUUAGAGUGUUUGUCUUUUAAUUUUGAUGAUUAUAACUGACAACUAAUGAAAACCCCAAAUUCAGUCUCUCAGAAAAUGUGAAUAUUGUGAAAAGGUUCAAUAUUGAACACACCUGGUGCCACACUCUAAUCAGCUAAUUAACUCAAAACACCUGCAAAGGCCUUUAAAUGGUCUCCCAGUCUAGUUCUGUAGGCUACACAAUCAUGGGGAAGACUGCUGACUUGACAGCUGUCCAAAAGACGACCAUUGACACCUUGCACAAAGGAGGGCAAGACACAAAAGGUCAUUGCUAAAUGAGGCUGGCUGUUCACAGAGCUCUAUGUCCAAGCACAUUAAUAGAGAGGCGAAGGGAAGGAAAAGAUGUGGUAGAAAAAAGUGUACAAGCAAUAGGGAUAACCGCACCCUGGAGAGGAUUGUGAAACAAAAGAGGAUUGGGAAAAUACCAACACCCUAGACAGUAUUUAGAAGCAUGUAAAGAAACAUGGGCCAAACACACAGGGCAUCACCCGGGGAUGGGAGGUCAGCAGCAGGAGUGGUUUAGAAGGGCGGUCUUAGAGGGACUUCCAGAGAAAAUAAAAGAGGCAAUGAUGGCAAAUCCUGACUUGCCGGGCAGUGAAUCACACGUAUGGGAAAGACACAUAGUGCAUCAUUUACAAAGGGCUAAAGAUGAGAAGACAGAGAAAGAGAAACAGAUAGAUGAACUGAAAGAAAAACUGCUGCGCUUACAGCUGGGAGAGGCCAAAGUGAAAGCAAAUGAGUGGAAAAAGAAACAUAGACAGAUGGCAGCCCUAGGCUCGGGAGAACCUGACACACCCGAUUUAUACCCUGUUCCCACAUGGGCACCCCAACCUCAGGGUGGCCGGGGGGGCCUUCACCGCGCCCUAUCGACCAGGGACUCCGAGGGGAGGUUACGGUAGGGGGAGGGGCAGAGGGGCUCCAGGAGCCCAAGUCCCAUACGGAGCCUGUUUUACGUGUGGGGACCCGAUCUACUGGUCCAGGGAGUGCCCACAGAAUGCCUGAAGAGGCAGAGGAUACCCAAACCAAGGGGCAGCUCCAGUUCCCAACCCACACGCCGUCCCACCACCUAGUGCACCUGGCCAGUACCCACUCUCUUAUGACGGAGGGUGGGACAAGGAAUGACGGUCUACAGGGAGGGGAGGGGACAGAGGGGGAAAGGUAGAUCCUAUGCUGUCCCUGAAUGUCGACGGGAGGGACUUCCCCUUUCUGGUUGACACAGGUGCCACUUUUUCCACCAUCACCGCCCCUCCCGCCACAGGACUAUUAUCCUCUAAGACAGUGGAGAUUGUGGGGUUUGAAGGGGUGGGACAGACUUUGCCAGUGACAUUUCCCCUUAAAACGAUACUGUGAAAGAAAAGAUGUCACAAAGAGAGGCUCUAGGGGCUGCAGUCAGCCCAGAGAGCAGAAGUGAGAGCAGAGAUAGAGGCCCUCAGGCAGGCCAAGGGAAAGAGAGUAAACAUUUACACAGAUUCGGCAUACGCAGUAGGCGCAGCGCACGUGGAGCUAGGACAGUGGUUAAAAGCUGGGCUUAGAACAGCAGGAGACAAACCGAUUAAACACGAGGCAGAGAUGAGAGAACUAGCCGAGGCCCUGGACCUGCCCGAAAAGGUAGCCAUCAUAAAAUGCAAAGGGCACGAUAAUUCAAAUAAUGUAGUUGCUCAGGGAAAUCAAGCGGCAGACACAGCAGCAAAACAGGCAGCAGGGUACACUCCGCGAGUGAUGGUGGUAAGAGCAGAAGAGGAAGUGGGGUGGGGAGAAGGCCCUGAGAGAGACGGGCUAGUGUGGCUUCCCUUGUGGCUUCCCCACAAGAGAAAACAAUUUGGCAACAGAGAGGAGCAACAGAGACGAGCGGGCUCUGGAGAGGGCCAGAUGGUAGAGUAAUACUUCCACCAGCCAUGCGGGGAGAUACAUUUGCAGAAGCCCAUGGGUUUGGCCAUGUAGGGCCAGCACAGAUGUUGAGGAACUUGUGCUAUUGGUGGCACCCGUUUAUGGUAGACAUGGUAAGUAACUACACUAGGACAUGCACCAUCUGCACUCACCACAUUUCAAAACCGACGAUCAAACCUGAGAUUGGGGCGUUCCCCAUGACGACGAAACCUGGACAAGAGAUAGUGAUAGACUACACGGACAUGGGGGAAACAGUACGGGGAUGCCGCUACAUGUUAGUGUGUGUGGACAUGUUCACAGGGUGGCCAGAAGCCUGGCCGGCAAGAAGGGAGGACAGUCAGACAGUGAUCAAGUGUUUAGUGAACCAGUACAUUCCCAGACACGGCUUCCCAGAGAAAAUCAGGUCAGACAAUGGGACUCACUUUAAGAACAGUGAUUUACAGAAGGUAGAGAGCUUAUUGGGCCUAAAACAUGCUUUUGGCACUUGUGAUGGUAAUUCCAUAUAUUGACACUCGGAGUAAGGGACACUGAGACAAAGUUCUCUUCGUACAUUAUAACCGUUUUAUUAAUUAUUAUGCGCAGAGACUAUUAUGAGAGACGCGUCAACCGCUUACACACACAUAAUCGUCUGAGGAGUCUCUAACUCCAUAUAGCUCAUUCAACCGUAUAUAUCACAUAGGAAAAAGGGGUGUGGUAAGAUGCUGCCAUCUGUCUCAUGUCAAUCAAACACCUUUCCCUUUGUUCUAUCACACAAGUCAAAUGCUAUCUUCCCCCACCUUAUCCUUCCUGCCAUGUUUACUGUAGUGUUUACCCAAAGGGGCCAACUGAUCUUACUCCCCCCAAGGACCACAUUCCUGAGGAACAAAAGACUGACACCCUUCUUCUAGGCAGGAGGACAUGGCCCAAAUACCUGUUAAUCCUCUGAUAUUAUACAGACAUGUGUGUCACAAUCAAAGUAAAGAUCUACAUAUCAGCCAAAUGGAAAGACAGACAUUUCUCAAAUGUACCUUAGUUCAGAAUUACCAUAACACACUGUAUACCAUCCACAGUCCCAGGGAAAGGUAGAAAGGAUGAAACAAAACUUAAAAAACAAGUUGGCUAAGAUAUGUGCACAGACUAAAUUGAACUGGGUGGAUGCACUGCCACUGGCACUCAUGACGAUUCGAUGCUCGUUAAAUCAGACCACUGGGUUCACCCCAUACAAGCUGCUGACGGGGAGACAGUUUCCAGGACCAGCCGCGGGGCCUGCGGUCCCAGAAGGGGAAAAGUGGCCCAAAGAUCACAGAGUGUAUUUUGAUGAAUUGCGAGCUCUCGUUUCAGAAUUCUCCAAUAGAGUCGGAGAACGGAGGAACCUGCACCCGCUGGACCAGAACCUGCCCCAGGCGGAGUGGGUGCUGCUGAAGUUCAUCAAGCGAAAGUGGUCGGAGCCAAGGUGGACGGGUCCUCAUCAGGUGGUGGAGAGAACGAGCCAUGCGGUCCGCCUGAGGGACAAAGGAGAGACCUGGUACCAUUGGAGCCAGUGUACACCAGCGCAGGAGCCAGGGAGGUCGCUGAUGGACCUCAUCCAAACCGGGAAGGAGGAGCUUUCCCCAGUGUGGACAGAAGGAGGACCAGCUCCAGCCGGUCCGGUGCCAGAAGCGGACCCCAGGACACGGCGGGACUACGAGCGAGUGAAGGAGACAAAGGACGGCGCCAGGGGAAUAGACUCUUAGGGGAAGGAACUGAAGAAUACUGUAACAAAAGGGGGUAUAGGACACCGAGUGGCUACUACCACUCGUACCAAGAUGACAGGGUCACAGAGAAAGGUCUGGGGAGAUAGUAGAAUGAAAUGGUAUAUGGGAAUUGGUGGAAUAAUGUGUGUUGUAUGUUACUACAGGUUUCCCUGGUUGGUGUCGAGUCUCCAUUUCCAAAGCGAGAAGGCAGCUGACACAAAACAAGGACGCCUGCCUGAAGACCUUUGGGUUUGGCGCAUGCGCGAGCGGCGACACGAUCUUCUGCACGCUCUGUCAGCUGUGUUUUGUUUGUUUUAAUAAAUGUUGACAAUCCGUCGGAAUAUCAACGAUUAAAUUAAGUUUUUAGACAGAUGAGAGUUUAGGGUUCAGAAUGAAGCUGAACACUGCCAUCCUGCUGGUGAUUUUGAUAACUUUUUUAACCAAUCAUGCCAAACAAGCUGUCGGCUACAAUUACCUGGAAGCACAAAUCACCUACACAAGAGACUUUCUGUUAAGUCUUAAAGUUUUCAUUGCUUCCACCUGAAUGUGUCAGGGGCAACAACCCCAAAGUAAGGAAAUGCGGCAGGAAAGGAGGAAUCCAGGAAAGAGUGAAAAGACAACCCUACAGACAAUCACUCCCAUCUGUUAUGCUCGGCAAUGUCCAAAGCCUAAGGAAUAAGGCGGAGGAGUUGCGGGCCUGCACACAGCACCUCACUGAUUACCGGCAAUCCUGCCUUAUUUGCUUGACAGAAAGUUGGCUCAAUGGGGGGGAUCCUGACUCGCUGGUCGACCUAGAGGGCUACACACUGGUGAGGAUGGAUCGUAACCUGAACUCCGGGAAAAGAAAAGGUGGAGGCGUGUGUGCAUUUAUCAACAAUAAAUACUGUAAUCCUGGUCAUAUUACGACAAAGCAUCAGAUCUGCACGAAGGAUAUUGAAUUACUAGCGCUCUGCCUAAGGCCUUAUCAUCUGCCUAGGGAAAUACACCAAAUCAGACUGUUUGUUGUGUAUAUUGCGCCCUCAGCUGACACAUUGGCUGCUGCCACUAUGAUUCAGGAACUUGUAGCUAAUGCGGAGGAAGAGGCCCCGACGCAGACAAUUUUGUGAUGGGUGACUUUAAUUUAUGCAGCCUAAAGGAACAUUUACCUAGGUACCAACAAUAUGUCACCUGUUCUACGCGUAAUGAAGCUUGCCUAGACCAUUGCUAUGGAAACAUCCAGGACGCCUUUUAUUCUAAGGCUUUGCCUGGUUUAGGGAACUCGGACCAUAACCUGAACCAUACCGGCGUCCCGUCUACGGGACGGUUCAGACUCAUUUGCGGCAUGUGGUAAAAACUGCGACGAUUCGUAAAAUCUAAUUUUUCCUGGUAUAGGCAUGUCUUAUAUCGCCAGAAAGCUUGGAAUCUUGUUAAACUAAUAUUCAAUUUAAAAAAGCUAUUACGACGACCAAACACGGUGCAAUUGUUUCACGGCAGUCAACAAGAACAAAACACUUUACUGUAGGCACUCGGUUUCAUUUUUCAUGUAUCACGGAAAAUAUUGUACUUACAUUACUGAACCUCCGCAGAUUUCUUAUCCCUCUGUUCCCAGAGAGGACGGGAAGCAUAUUUUUGCUUGGUGAAAUCCGUUUUAAUUCUCAUAGUAUCCAUGCGUCACAGAAUGAAAAAUGACUCGAUCCACUUGCAACAAAACUAUUCAUGCUAUUCAGACCAUAAAACAAGUAUUUUCCCCGUGACAUUUGGUAUGUCUGUAAUAAUUAAACACUCAGGAAGAUAACUAGCCUUAUUGCGAGAUUCUACACAGCGAAUUGGCUGCGCAAUACCUCAGUAAACCCUAGUAGCGCGCCUCACGUUACGCACCAAUAAGAUGGACCAAGACAAACUUGAAGGACAAUAUCUUCCUCCAAUGACGACCAAUUAAUUUGAAUAGCUAGCUAGAUAGCCAAUGAGCUGGCCUUUCUUGUGAUGUGGGAAUGUGCACUGUGGGAAGAAUGGGCUGGAAUCUAGAGGUGUGCUCAACCGGACACCCCUGUUUCAUUUCGAAUUGAGAGAGCAUCAGAGCGCACUAGUAUUUUCAUUACGCACAUUGUUGCUAUUACUCAGUAGUUACUUCUUCUUGUUAUUUCGAUAAUUUUAAACAUUUCGAAUUUGAACAUGGCUCCUAAAAGUGGGAAAGCGAAAUCCAAGACCCAAGUACACAAACUUGGAGGAGAUUUUUGAGGAGAUUCAGCGAGAGAGUGACCGAGAGCUAGACGAGGAUUCUCUUAGUGAACAAAGUUUUGAUUCUGGCAAGGAAGAAUUGUUCUUGGAAGGAAAGGAUCCCGUUUUAGAUUGGUGAGUAAAAUAAAUUAUUGUUCUUUAUAUGUAUGUAUGUUUAUAUGUAUGUGUGUACGUGUAUAUGCUUGUGUACACCUGAAAAAUAAUUUUAUUUGGGUAGUAAGUGUAGUAAUAUGUAUAUAUUACAAAUAUACAAUUACAGUACAAAUAAACACAUACAUAAAUAUAUAUUUCAGCUAAACUUUCAUAUAAAAAGUAAUAUAAAUACAGGUUGAAAGAACUGUUCUUUGUCCUGUUGUCAUGGUGCGGUGAGCAGCAGCGCCACCGUGCCAUAGUUCCUCAGUUCCCAUACCUCACAAACACAUCCCGGACUGUCACAUGUUUCCAAUCUUCCACACCAGGUCCCAAUUUGUAUCAUUUGUAUGUGUAUAUAUGUUUCCCCUCUGCUCCCCACAUUGUGGAUCAUUGUUGCUGUCUGUAUGCUGGUGAGUGUUGUUUGUGCUACUGUUUGUAUGUUAGUUGCUAAGUCGCAUUGUUGCGCACUUUAUUUUCAUUCAGUAGAGUAGUUAUUGUUUUCCGUUCGUGUUCGGUUUGUUGUUUGUUGUUUUAAUAAACCAACGAACGUGAUCUCUGCCUGCGCCUGGUUCCUCCAACGCUACACCACGACAAGUGUUACACCUGUGCUAUAUUUGAAGCGACUCAGACUUGGAUGAUCUCUGGGAGCCGGCUGCAAAGAGACAACCACAAUCAAGCAGUCCUGCCCUCACUACUUCAGGAGCAUCUACAUCUGCCAUUGUUUCUGGCUCUACAACAAGCACACCUUUUGUCUCCAAAAUCACUCCAGGUCCAAUGUCAUCCACACCUACCCCCGUCCGGCCAUCCAGAGGUGUGAAGAGACCAGCCCAGAGACAAAGACGGGCCAGUGCACCAGCUGACACCCCCACUGAGGGAGAGGACCAUUGGCACACAGUACUGGUGGAGGAUGUGGAGCCACAUCCACCCACAUUCAGGCCUAAAAGGCAGCCUGGACCUCAGCUGGACAUGACUGGGACAUAUAGCCCCCUCCAUCUGUUCCAGCUGUUUUUUUACUACCUCUGUUCUUGCGACGCUGGUGUCGAACACCAACAAGUAUGGGACUAAAAAGCAAGCUGGAAAAAAAGAGGCAUGGAACACCAUUUCCAUCAAUGACAUGUACUCCUACAUAUCACUGGUCAUUUACAUGGGGAUUGUGCUCCUCUAGCACUCCUGCCCCAGGACCUGCCUCCAGUGGUGCGCACAUACCAAAGUAUCUGGUUGCAGACCUGAAUGUGCCUCAAGACCAAAAGGGUACAGUAGGAAGGCGUCGUUGUACCCUGUGCCAUAAAAAGUCACCUAUUACCUGCACAACUUGUGGUGUCACCCUUUGCUUUACAACAGAAAGAGACUGUUAUGGUACUUGGCAUCAGCAGCAUAACAUUAUGUGGAGGGUUGACUUGGGUGAUCUGGACCCUCAAUGUGUACAAAGUUUUUUUUUUUUUUCACUUUUUGUUUGCUGUUUGCACUUUUGACAUUAGAUCAGUGUUGGCUUCUCACUUAUUGUAAAUAGUUCACUUAUUUUGGGGGGCAUUGGAUCAGCGUUCUCGUCACGCCUCCUGUCAGUACCUUUAUGAAGAGAAACUAAUGAUCCAUCAUGUAUGACAUUUCUGGGAGUGUGUAAACCUUAUUUGUUAUUACACUUGUAUUUUUGAAUAAUCUCUGUUGUCAUAUGCUUGGAAUUUAAUCAUUUAUCCAAUUUGGCCACUUGGGUAGAUUUGGGGACACUCGGGAAGGACACUUGGGAGUCCUCUUACAGAAUAUUCUGCAGCUCUAUGGUCAUUCAAUGUAGCUGCCUAAAACUUUACCUACAGUCUCCUGCCUUCUAAGGGACAAUACUUGACGUGUCUCCAGCCUCCUAUCUCAAUGCAUGGCCUUCCCACUGCAUUUCAAACAUGAUGAUAAAAAUAAAAUAAAUAAAAAAAACGUAUGUUUUUGGUUUGUUUUAUCUUCUGCCAAAUCUAUUGUGUUAUACUUUCCUGCAUUCAUUUAUAAUUCCUGCAAACUACAGUGUCUCCUUUCAAAUGGUACCAAAUAAAUGUUUCUACUAUACUCAGGUCAUGAGCUACAAGCAUUUAGAUUUGGGUACAUCAAUUUAGGCGGAAAUUGACUUUUUUUGCACCUUGGCUAACAGGUAGACCAUUGCUAUGGAAACAUCCGGGACGCCUUUUAUUCUAAGGCUUUGCCUGGUUUAGGGAACUCGGACCAUAAUGUGAUUAAGCUGAAGCCUUCCUAUGUGUCCCGACUACGGAGUGAGAAAGCGAAAAAGGUGGAGGUUAAAUGCUGGUCUGCUGCUGCGACGGAGACUCUUCAAGGAUUGCCUGGAGUGCACAGACUGGAAUGUAGUUACUGACGGGACUGAUAACGUCAAUGACGCAGCGUUCGCUAUUUCGGGGUAUGUACAAUUCUGUGAGGAUAUGAUCAUCCCCCGAAAGACUAUUAAGAUGUUUCCUAAUAAUAAGCCCUGGGUCACUCCAGAGUUAAAGCAACUCCUUAAUGAGAAAAAACGUCUGUUUAAAUCAGGAGGAAGUAGAGAAGAGAAAAAGAUAGUACAGAAAAAGAUCAAAAGCAAGAUCAAUGAGUGUAAAGCAGCAUACAAACAUGAAUUAGAAAGCUUUUUUUUAAAUGACGUUAGAAGAGCCUGGCAGGGAGUUCAAUCUAUUACAGGUUACAAGCCCAAGAAGCACCCUAUGGUAGCAGACAAUGAUUUUAACAUGGCAAAUCAAUUAAAUGAUUUUUACUGUAGAUUUGACAUAUAUGAUUUUGAAGCAAAACAGAAUGAGGCCAUUACAGUAGUAAGAGACAUGAAAGGUGUGGAUAUUGACAUCUCUAUGGACGAUGUCAAAUCUCAUUUUAGACGUGUAAACCCCCACAAAGCUUGUGGACCUGAUGGUAUCAGCUGUAGGACACUAAAGGUGUGUGCUGAUCAGCUGGCACAGCCCUUUCACAGGUUGUUCCAGCUGUCACUAGACACUGGUGUUGUUCCCAGUCUAUGGAAAAAAUCUUUAAUAGUGCCGGUGCCUAAAAACAAUAGACCUAAGGAACUCAAUGAUCUGCGCCCUGUUGCCCUUACAUCCACAGUUAUGAAAUGUUUUGAAAAAAUAAUUUUAAAGGAACUUCUCCAUAAGCUCUCACCUCUUUUAGACCAAAAUCAAUUUGCUUAUCGUGCAGAGAGAGGUGUUGAGGAUGCACUGCUAUCUUUGAUUAACAGCAUUCAUUAGCACCUUGAGCAUGCUAAGAGUCUUGUCAAGAUUGUGUUCAUUGACUUUAGCAGCGCUUUUAAUACAAUUCAACCCCACCUGUUGGUGGAAAAAUUGGUGCAUUUGGGAGUAAAUCCCCAAUUGAUUAUCUCGAUCUAUAACUUCUUGACGGAUCGCAGUCAGCAAGUCAGAUUUAACUCAUGUAUAUCAUCCUUACAAACUAUAAACACAGGGGCACCACAAGGGUGCGUUCUGUCGCCCAUUUUAUACACAUUGUACACCAAUAAUUGUCAAGCCUCCUCUUCAGCUCACACUUAUUUUAAAUAUCCUGACGACACAGCAUUGGUUGGUUUUUUAAAAUCUAACAUUUCUUCUGUGAAUGAAUUCCAGAGGGAAUUACAGGGUUUCACUCAGUGGUGUUCUGAUAAUUUUCUUGAAAUAAAUGUAAAGAAAACAAAAGAGAUGGUUAUAGAUUUUAGCAAAAACAGAAUUAUAGUCCCCCCUUCUAAGAUCAAUGGUGAACUGGUAGAGCGAGUCUCAACCUACAAAUAUUUGGGAGUUGAAACUGACUCUAAAUUAAUUUUUAAUGACUGUGCAUUGAAUAAAACUAAGAAAAUGCACCAGCGGAUGUUUUUCCUUAGGAAACUAAACACUUUUAGACUAGACAGACACAUCCUUGUAAUGUUUUAUAAAAGUAUUCUCCAGAGUGUUCUGUCUUUUGGCCUUAUCUGCGUGUUUGGUAACAUGCAUGUUAAGGACCAAAGAGACUGCAGCGUAUGAUCAAGAUGGCCAGUAAGAUCAUAGGACUUGAUCAGGUGUCAGCAACUCAGCUGUACAAUGAGUUUAUCUUACAAAAGACCGACCAAAUCCUUAAUGACCCCACUCACCCUCUUCAUCAUAAAUUUAUGAGAAGCAAUAGGUCAACUGGUAGAAUUUUACAACAGAGAAUUAAAACGGAAAGUACAAUAAAUAAUUUGUGCCUACAGCAAUCAGACUGUAUAAUGACCAAGCACAUCGCAAGUACUUUGAUCCCACACUGGCAUUUUAACUGGAUGGUACACCCAAAUUUCAUUUUUGGACAUCAACUAGUUAUUUUUAUAUACUUAUUUUUAUUUUUAGCUACCUUAAUGUUUCGUAAACGUUAG
ensembl:lncRNA